rnacentral:rRNA from 1 species
UACGGAGGGGGCUAGCGUUGUUCGGAAUUACUGGGCGUAAAGCGCGCGUAGGCGGACCUGCAAGUCGGGGGUGAAAGCCCGAGGCUCAACCUCGGAACUGCCUUCGAUACUGCGGGUCUCGAGUCCGGGAGAGGUGAGUGGAAUUCCUAGUGUAGAGGUGAAAUUCGUAGAUAUUCGCAAGAACACCAGUGGCGAAGGCGGCUCACUGGCCCAUAACUGACGCUGAGGCACGAAAGCGUGGGGAGCAAACAGG